GCCUGCGUAGCUCAGUGAUAGAGCAUCUGUCUUGUAAACAGAGGGUCGAGGGUUUGACUCCCUUCGCAGGCU
rnacentral:tRNA from 2 species